rnacentral:rRNA from 1 species
GACGUAGGGCGCGAGCGUUGUCCGGAUUUAUUGGGCGUAAAGAGCUCGUAGGCGGCUUGUCGCGUCGAAUGUGAAAACCCACGGCUCAACUGUGGGCUUGCAUUCGAUACGGGCAGGCUAGAGUUCGGUAGGGGAGACUGGAAUUCCUGGUGUAGCGGUGAAAUGCGCAGAUAUCAGGAGGAACACCGGUGGCGAAGGCGGGUCUCUGGGCCACUACUGACGCUGAGAAGCGAAAGCAUGGGGAGCGAACAGG